GUGGGGAAUAUUGGACAAUGGGCGAAAGCCUGAUCCAGCCAUGCCGCGUGUGUGAAGAAGGUCUUCGGAUUGUAAAGCACUUUAAGUUGGGAGGAAGGGCAGUAAGUUAAUACCUUGCUGUUUUGACGUUACCGACAGAAUAAGCACCGGCUAACUUCGUGCCAGCAGCCGCGGUAAUACGAAGGGUGCAAGCGUUAAUCGGAAUUACUGGGCGUAAAGCGCGCGUAGGGGGGUUUGUAAGUUGGAGGUGAAAUCCCCGGGCUCAACCGGGGAACUGCCUCCAAAACUGCAUGACUAGAGUACGGUAGAGGGUAGUGGAAUUUCCUGUGUAGCGGUGAAAUGCGUAGAUAUAGGAAGGAACACCAGUGGCGAAGGCGACUACCUGGACUGAUACUGACACUGAGGUGCGAAAGCGUGGGGAGCAAACAGGAUUAGAAACCCGGGUAGUCC
rnacentral:rRNA from 1 species